rnacentral:rRNA from 1 species
UGGACAAUGGGCGCAGGCUUGAUCCAGCCAUGCCGGGGGUUGAAGAAGGCCUUCGGGUUGUAAAGGACUUUUGUCCAGGGAAGAAAAGGGCGGGGUUAAUACCCCUGUCUGAUGACGGUACCUGAAGAAUAAGCACCGGCUAACUACGUGCCAGCAGCCGCGGUAAUACGUAGGGUGCGAGCGUUAAUCGGAAUUACUGGGCGUAAAGCGGGCGCAGACGGUUACUUAAGCAGGAUGUGAAAUCCCCGGGCUCAACCUGGGAACUGCGUUCUGAACUGGGUGACUAGAGUGUGUCAGAGGGAGGUAGAAUUCCACGUGUAGCAGUGAAAUGCGUAGAGAUGUGGAGGAAUACCGAUGGCGAAGGCAGCCUCCUGGGAUAACACUGACGUUCAUGCCCGAAAGCGUGGGUAGCAAACAGGAUUAGAUACCCUGGUAGUCCACGCCCCAAACGAUGUCGAUUAGCUGUUGGGCAGCAUGACUGCUUAGUAGCGAAGCUAACGCGUGAAAUCGACCGCCUGGGGAGUACGGUCGCAAGAUUAAAACUCAAAGGAAUUGACGGGGACCCGCACAAGCGGUGGAUGAUGUGGAUUAAUUCGAUGCAACGCGAAGAACCUUACCUGGUCUUGACAUGUACGGAACCCUCCAGAGACGGAGGGGUGCCUUCGGGAGCCGUAACACAGGUGCUGCAUGGCUGUCGUCAGCUCGUGUCGUGAGAUGUUGGGUUAAGUCCCGCAACGAGCGCAACCCUUGUCAUUAGUUGCCAUCAUUAAGUUGGGCACUCUAAUGAGACUGCCGGUGACAAGCCGGAGGAAGGUGGGGAUGACGUCAAGUCCUCAUGGCCCUUAUGACCAGGGCUUCACACGUCAUACAAUGGUCGGUACAGAGGGUAGCCAAGCCGCGAGGUGGAGCCAAUCUCACAAAACCGAUCGUAGUCCGGAUUGCACUCUGCAACUCGAGUGCAUGAAGUCGGAAUCGCUAGUAAUCGCAGGUCAGCAUACUGCGGUGAAUACGUUCCCGGGUCUUGUACACACCGCCCGUC